AGCUCCAAUAGCGUAUAUUAAAGUUGUUGCAGUUAAAAGCUCGUAGUUGGAUUUCUGGCAGAGUGUCCUUUGGCCAGCAUGACGUUUGGUCCAGAGCGCUCUACCAUCCUUCUGUUAACCUUGUCAGCAUUCACUUGCUGGCCUGGGGCUCAGAUAUUUUACCUUGAGAAAAUUAGAGUGUUUCAGGCAGGCUUUCGCCGGAAUACAUUAGCAUGGAAUAAUGGAAAAGGACUUCAACCUCUUCUGUUGGUCUGAGAGGCUGUAGUAAUGAUUAAUAGGGAUAGUUGGGGGCAUUAGUACUCAACUGUCAGAGGUGAAAUUCUCCGAUUCGUUGAAGACUAACUUAUGCGAAAGCAUUUGCCAAGGAUGUUUUCA
rnacentral:rRNA from 1 species